rnacentral:rRNA from 1 species
AACGAACGCUGGCGGCGUGGAUAAGACAUGCAAGUCGAACGAGAGAAUUGCUAGCUUGCUAAUAAUUCUCUAGUGGCGCACGGGUGAGUAACACGUGAGUAACCUGCCCCCGAGAGCGGGAUAGCCCUGGGAAACUGGGAUUAAUACCGCAUAGUAUCGAAAGAUUAAAGCAGCAAUGCGCUUGGGGAUGGGCUCGCGGCCUAUUAGUUAGUUGGUGAGGUAACGGCUCACCAAGGCGAUGACGGGUAGCCGGUCUGAGAGGAUGUCCGGCCACACUGGAACUGAGACACGGUCCAGACACCUACGGGUGGCAGCAGUCGAGAAUCAUUCACAAUGGGGGAAACCCUGAUGGUGUGACGCCGCGUGGGGGAAUGAAGGUCUUCGGAUUGUAAACCCCUGUCAUGUGGGAGCAAAUUAAAAAGAUAGUACCACAAGAGGAAGAGACGGCUAACUCUGUGCCAGCAGCCGCGGUAAUACAGAGGUCUCAAGCGUUGUUCGGAAUCACUGGGCGUAAAGCGUGCGUAGGCUGUUUCGUAAGUCGUGUGUGAAAGGCGCGGGCUCAACCCGCGGACGGCACAUGAUACUGCGAGACUAGAGUAAUGGAGGGGGAACCGGAAUUCUCGGUGUAGCAGUGAAAUGCGUAGACAUCGAGAGGAACACUCGUGGCGAAGGCGGGUUCCUGGACAUUAACUGACGCUGAGGCACGAAGGCCAGGGGAGCGAAAGGGAUUAGAUACCCCUGUAGUCCUGGCAGUAAACGGUGCACGCUUGGUGUGCGGGGAAUCGACCCCCUGCGUGCCGGAGCUAACGCGUUAAGCGUGCCGCCUGGGGAGUACGGUCGCAAGAUUAAAACUCAAAGAAAUUGACGGGGACCCGCACAAGCGGUGGAGUAUGUGGCUUAAUUCGAUGCGACGCGAAGAACCUUACCUGGGCUUGACAUGUAAUGAACAACAUGUGAAAGCAUGCGACUCUUCGGAGGCGUUACACAGGUGCUGCAUGGCCGUCGUCAGCUCGUGUCGUGAGAUGUUUGGUUAAGUCCAGCAACGAGCGCAACCCCUGUUGCCAGUUACCAGCACGUGAAGGUGGGGACUCUGGCGAGACUGCCCAGAUCAACUGGGAGGAAGGUGGGGACGACGUCAGGUCAGUAUGGCCCUUAUGCCCAGGGCUGCACACGUACUACAAUGCCCAGUACAGAGGGGGCCGAAGCCGCGAGGCGGAGGAAAUCCUGAAAACUGGGCCCAGUUCGGACUGUAGGCUGCAACCCGCCUACACGAAGCCGGAAUCGCUAGUAAUGGCGCAUCAGCUACGGCGCCGUGAAUACGUUCCCGGGUCU